rnacentral:lncRNA from 1 species
AUGCACAGGUUUUUAUGUGAACAUAAGUUUUCAUUUCUCUGUGGAAGACAAGUAGGAACAGGAUUCCUAGUUCAUAUGUCUCUUGGAGUGUACAGUGGCGCGAUCUCUGCUCAUUGCAAUCUCCGCCUCCAGGUUCAAGCAGUUCUCCUGCCUCAGCCCCCGAGUAACUGGGACUACAGGUGCGCACCACCACACCUGGCUAAUUUUUUUAAAUUUAUUUUUUAUUUUUUUAAGUAGAGACAUGUUUCACCAUGUUGGCCAGGAUGGUCUUGAUCUCCUGACCUCUUGAUCCGCCCACCUCAGCCUCCCAAAGUGCUGGGAUUACAGGCGUGAGCCAAAGGGCCCGGCCACUGAUUUUCUUUCUACUUGUUCUAAUGUUUAGGUGAGAGGAAUGUUGAAAUCUCCAACUAUAUUUGUGGGUCUGUCCAUUUUUCCUUUCAGUUUGUCAGUUUUUGGUUUACGUAUUUUGAAGUUUUGUUUUUAGGUGCAUGCACAUUUAAGAUUGUUAUGUCUUCUUGGCGUAACGUAACUUGAUUAAUUGACUCAUUUAUCCUUUUGUAAUUACUCUCCCUACCUCCAGUAAUCUUUUCCUGUUUUGAAGUCUGCUUUGUCAGGUACUAAUACAACUACAUCAGCUCGUGCUUACUUACUGCUUGCUUUUACUAUAUUUUUACAUGUAACAUACUUCUUCAUAUUAAAAGUAGGUUUAUGGAGACAGCACAGAAUUAGAGCUAGAGUUCAACAAUUUGUCAUUUCCAUUGGAGACUCGGAAGGGAGAGGGUGAGAGAGGGGUGAAGAAUGAGAAAUUACUUACAGGUACAGUGUAAACUAUUUAGAUGAUGGCUGCACUAGUGGCCUGGCCUUCAGCACUAGGCAAUAUACCCAUGCCACAAAACUGCAUGUGUACCCCCUAAAAUCUAAUUUUAAAAAUAAGAGAUUAAAAAGACGGUUUUUUAAUUUGUGUGUUUAGGUCAUUUUAUUUAAUAACCAUUAUGCUUACAUUUAGGUCUACCAUUUAAAGUUUGUUUUCUGUUUAUCCUUUCUGUUAUUUGUUCCUCU